rnacentral:rRNA from 1 species
CCUACGGGCGGCAGCAGUGGGGAAUAUUGCGCAAUGCUCGUAAGAGUGACGCAGCGACGCCGCGUGAAUGACGAAGGCCUUCGGGGCGUUAAGUUCUUUCGACAGGGAAGAAAAUGCAUAUACGUAACUGUGUAUUUAUUGACGGUACCUGUAUAAGCAGCCCCGGCUAACUCCGUGCCAGCAGCCGCGGUAAUACGGAGGUGGGGAGCGUUGUUCGGAGUGACUGGGAGUACAGGGCACGUAGGCGGUGUUGUAAGUCAUUAGUCAAAGACUAGAGCUCAACUUUAGUAAGGCUAGUGAUACUGGAAUACUGGAGUAUCAGAGAGGAUUGCAGAAUGCCUGGUGUAGCGGUGAAAUGCGUAGAUAUCAGGAGGAAUACCGUUAGCGAAGGCAGCAAUCUGGCUGGAAACUGACGCUGAGGUGCGAAAGCGUGGGUAGCAAACAGGAUUAGAUACCCUGGUAGUC